GAUGAAGAACGUAGCGAAAUGCGAUAAGUAGUGUGAAUUGCAGAAUUCAGUGAAUCAUCGAAUCUUUGAACGCACAUUGCGCCCCUUGGUAUUCCAUGGGGCAUGCCUGUUCGAGCGUCAUUUGUACCUUCAAGCUCUGCUUGGUGUUGGGUGUUUGUCUCGCCUCUGCGUGUAGACUCGCCUCAAAAUAAUUGGCAGCCGGCGUAUUGAUUUCGGAGCGCAGUACAUCUCGCGCUUUGCACUCAUAACGACGACGUCCGAAAGUACAUUUUUACACUCUUGACCUCGGAUCAGGUAGGGAUACCCGCUGAACUUAAGCAUAUCAAUAAGCGGAGGA
rnacentral:misc_RNA from 1 species